CAACCCUCAAGCACUGCUUGGUAUUGGAUGUCACUCUUGUUGUGCAUCUCAAAGUUAUUGGCGGCAGCAUUCAGCUUCUGGUGUGGUAGAUUUCUCGCCAUGGAGUUUGAUGUCCAACCGCCAGAACCCCUAAUGUGUUAAAA
rnacentral:misc_RNA from 1 species